CACUUGUAACAAAUGUGGGUAGAGCCUUCCCCAAAUCUUCGUUUGCGAAGCCCAGCCAUGAUACAGUGAAAUAGUAACUGGUCUAAAGAAGUGCAUUAAAUAAAUUGUAAUAUAGUUAAAUAUAAUCCACACAAAAUACUCAGAAGUGAUUGCAGCAGCCAGCUGUAAUAAAUUUUUAUAUUCACGGAUGAUCAUACUCUUGUUUAAUGCAGGGCUUGUUUUACACUUACUAUGCAGAGGAGUAGGUUCCUAUUCUAUAAAAAGGUAAGGGAGCUUAAACAAAUACUGUUUUAACUUAUUCUUAAAGAAUAUGGUCAUUUUAAAGUAGCAUAAGUUUAAAUAAGCAGAACUUUAAAUAACUGUGAUCUGCUUCUGUUUGCAAAUGAGCUAUCAAAAACCCCCUAGCUUCUUUUCAGUACAAUUUUUAGUGCUUUUACCCUAAAACCCUAAUACCAAAUAAUCACAUUUGGAACUGAUCUGUGUGUUCUACAAACUAAUUUUCUUAUCACUCUGGUUCAUUUCAGCAAUCUAGUUGUUCUUAAACUAAUUGUAUUGAAAAAUAAGGACUCGAUUUAAGAGAAGCUAAAAUCCCUUCUUGUACCUUGCUUUUUAGGCUCAAACCUUUUUUUACAGAAAGCUUCUCCUACUGCCCAGAAGGAAAAUUUCUUCCCAGUUGCUCACCUAAUUGUGCAUCUUGUCUACAAUCAGAAAGUUGCACUGGCUCUGUAAGUCCAUCCAGUGGCUGCAUAUAGGAAUUGCAUAUUUUUGAGGGUAAAUUCCAAUUUUGUACAGUUUAGCUUAUUAAGUAGUGUAGUUAAUGUUAUUACUGGAAAAAAACGUGAACUGAAAUGUACAACUGGAAUACUCCCAGCCUUUGCUGAUAAGUAGAUCUAUAUCUCUAAAGUACCCUUUGAGUAAUACUGGGAAUUGAUUUGUUGUUCCAGCAACAGGGACAAGAUAAAAGUUGAUGAUUAUUUAUUUGUAUUUAAAUUAAUUACCUCCUAGAGUGAGGAACAGAAAACUUCUGAGUGAAAAGUUUUAGCUUAUUUUCAUUCUGAACCUGAGACAACUGAGGUCAUUGUGAAUGCUAGGCUAGCUCUUGUGAAUCAUCCUUUUAGAUCUCAUGUGUGUGUUCAUAGUAAAGCAAACCUCUGUGAAGUUACAUCUUCUAAUUAUUAAGUAUGUGUUUUUGUUAAAUGGCAUGAGAUACUACAAAAAGUCAUUAAAAAACUGAAAGAGGACAAGAUCUGAACAGUGUGUACCAGAAGUCACAUUAAGAAUUUAUAUACAGACUAUUUCCAGAAAAUCCUGCUUAAGUUCAGUACUGAAUCUUGAUGGAUCAUCAGACUAAAUCAGGCCAGCUGAUUGUUUGAGAAUCUAUGUAGCAUUUCCCCUUGAUGAUGACAGCAAUUAGAGCCUUAGUGCCUUGAGCCCUAAUUCUAACAUCAUUUCCAUUAUUGCUACCAGUGCUGAAGUUGUAACUGUGGAGAAUAUUGGUGGAAUACUUUUACCAGUUAGAAAAAGCCCAUUUGCUAAAAGCCUUUUAAUUCUCUGUUCUUGGCAAAUAAGGGCUUCUAAAAUGUUCACCAUCAUUACUACCUUUUUUCUUCCCAUGAAAGUAAAUGUAUCUUUAAUUUUGCCUUCUAGAGUGAAUACAUUAUGAUAUAGCUUACAAUUACAUGAUAGCCUAUAAUUUGUCCAGCCCUGCUUCAGUUAGUGCGUAGGUUGUGGAGGCAUAAAAAGGCAUAAAGAGAGAAUGACUUUUGUAACACCAGCCUAAAUCUAGUGCUUUUAAAAAAAUUAAGAGCUUUAUUUUUCUAUCUUUAUAAAUAAAUUUUACCCUAGAAAGUUGCAGAAGUGUGUGUAAGAUACUGUCAUGGCAGGUACUUUGUGCUUGUUAAAACAACCACGUAGUACCUAUUGCCUGCUGUGGUACAACAGUUGCCUUUAUAAUUCUUUCCAGUGUUUUAUACAUUUCAAAUCUUCAUUAUUUUUGGUCUAGAAUUGCCACUACUGAGGUUGCUAUGGUUGUAAACUCUAGCAGUUUCUCUCCAACAAGAUAUCUGGUUUUAGUAAUAGAGUUUUGAAUUAGAAUAUUACAAUUCCUUCUUGCUGCAAUGAUUAUUAUAAAAUAGAUAAUGUCAAUGUGUUGUGGAUAUAAUGCAACUCGAUCUGCUACAGAAACUCUCCUUUCAGGUUUGGUUUUCUUUUCUUUGUUUGUUUUUAACUAGGGCCACAAUAAAUAUAUACCUUCUUUGUUAGCCUAAGUACUCCCCAGACCUGAAAACAUAGAACCUUCAUGGAACUUUAAGUUAAAAUGAGAUGGCUUUGGAAAAUGAGUGCAGAAAACAUUCAACUCAUCUCUGGAACCCAGUCUAGCAGUUUUUUGCAUGGUUCUCACUUUACGAAGUUGGCUGGUAUCUUAUGAAUUCACUUUCCUCUGUAAGGGUAUAGAGCUGGGUGAUAUAGAACCACUGAAUGAACUCCUAGCUUUCCUUUCUCUGUAAGCUGUGAGUCUCAGCAUAUUUUAGUUGGAGCACAACAUAGGUUUCCCUACUGUGUACUUGAUCAGUCUGCAAAAGCUGUUGUUAUAACACUGCCUUUGUCCUCUCCUUCCUUCUGAGUACAACCAGAGGAUCACUUGGUUAUUUUAUUUUACUUGCAUUUGCCAGUGUUAGGAUUUCAUUAUUCAUGUGUCAGUUAUGACUAUAUCAUUUACCAGAACCAAAAAGACUCCGCUUCUUAGUACAUUACAAUAGCUACAAAUCUUUCCAGAGGCAUCAAGUAAAUUAUUUUGGUUUUGUUUGUUCCAUUAAAUAUAUAGGAAACUAUUUUCCUCUAGUGAAUUAUUAUUCUUCAUGAGAAGGAAUAAAUGUAAUGUAUUUCUGAUUUGUUCUGAACUCUUUACUGGAGAUAGGAAAAGAACUCUAAAGGUGGUGUACCUUUCUUGAGGCCAUAGUAGAGCCCACUUUUUAACCCUACCAGCUUCCAUGCUUUUUGUCUGAGCAAUAUUAAUACUGCAGCAUUCUUCUGUUAAUGCAUGGCCCUGCAUUUUAUCAUGUCCUGUGAUGUGACAGAUCAAUAAACACCCUCAAUGAGGAGAUUACAAAUAAAACUGUGGAAUUUACAAAUUUAGAAAAUUAUUUCCAAAUCAGCUAAGUUUUUUAGCUAAACAAAACAAGAUUAAUGAAUACCUGCAUACCAAACACUUCCUAUCAGAGUUCACAAUAUUUACAAAGCCCAUUAGCAGGUUUUGCAGAACAUCCUCAAUCCUGUACUCAGCUGAUAGGUUGUUACAGACACAUCAGUAUGGAAAAAAUCUGCCCUGUUCUAGUUUCUCUUUCAAACGUCUCUAGCAGUUCCAGAAGUUAUGAGAUCCAUUGCCUACCUCAACUCUGCCCUUUCCCAACAACUGCAAACAAGACAAAGCAGUUUUCUGCAACCUGGUGGGGUUGCAGGCACCCUCUUUUUCUAGGGUGAACAUAACCAAAUUAUUAGAAUUGCCAUUUGAUGUGUAUUUAAUUCAAAGUGGAAAAAUGCAAAAGGAAAGAACAAACAAAUUUAGAAGCUUUUCAGACAAAAUAGUGGUCACAGAAUUGAAUUUACAGGUCAGCACAAACAUUCUAGGCAUAUGUUAGUCUGUCAUAAUUAUGAUUGUCGAUUUGUUCUUCCCUUAUGAAUAAAUAUAAAAUAUGCCAUUUAUAUUUCUUUGACCAGAUUUUCUUUCAUCUUUUCUAAACUGACCACUCCUAAUCUUUUGUAUCUUCUGCUGUGCACAAUAGAGCCCAAUUUAGUAAGGAUUUUCAAAUGUCAUUGCAAAACUGUUAUGCAAAAACCAUAUUGCAAAACCACUAUGUCAUUUAGUAGUGUCUUUCAAAUUCUAAAAUAAUUUUUAAGAAGUCUAGUCAGGGUUUAUGAUGUUAUGUUCUAUAUUCCCAGAGAUCUGUUUCAAUUAUAUUUUCACAGAGCUGAAUCUUUUGUUAUGAGGUUAGAAGUUAGUUUUGAAAAAUUUGUUUCAAGAAUAUUUACAGUCCAUCUGUUUAUGAGCAAAGCACAGACUGAAGAGACAGCAUAGCACAGAUGAGUCAUAAACUGGUUCUUAAUUAUUGCAGUUUGGAGGCAGUACCAAGUGGUGUGUUUAGUCCUGUAUGGUCCUAGUCUUCCCUUGAAUUAAUCUUUUGACAAAACUGGAAGACUUUUGGGUACCCACCCAGUCCUAAGAACUGUUUAUUCUCCCAUAAUCCUGCCUUCAGAAAUUGAUAACUGACAACUGUUUGGUGAAAGAUUAAACAACAGAUGAUUUUCAGUUCUUGUAUUUUCUAUACAGUUUCUUAAUUUUACUGUAGUAAAAAAAAUCCAUAUAGCAAAGACUGCCAGUCAUGUCACCCUUCUCAUUUUAGAAGUGUGUAGUUUAGGAUCACAAAAUGUUUUGCAUGUUUACAUAACUGGUUAUUUUUGCAUCCCUGCUCUGAGGACGGUACCAUAAUACGCUCAUUUUACAGUUGAAGGAAGUGUGGCAGAGAGCAAUGACUUGAUUCAGGGCACACAUCAAGAGUGGUGUAGACUCAGUCAUCCCAAUUCCCACUUAUAGUGAAUGCUACUUCAUUCUUCACACCACAAAAACUACAACUUAAAAAAAUAUAAAAUUUUUUUUUGAAAAAUUGCUCUGUAGCUCCUUUCUUGGGACAGGAUUUUCAGAACCUGAAUUCUGGCACCCGGAUGCACCUUAUCAUAAUGCUUUACGAGUCUUUUUUGUGGGUAACUUUGUGCCUUUCAAAGAGCACCUGGAUACAGCUAGAAACACAAGGAACUAAGCUAGCUUUGAAGCAGAAGGGCUGAUUGCAAUGGAGAGGAGUGGCAUUAUUUUAACUAAGCAGUGUUUUAAGAUAGUGAACAAUCUAGAAAAGUCUUAUUCCUAACAAAUUACAAAAACAGUCCAGUGGCAUUUAAUUUAUUCCUGUUAUAAGCCCCAGUUUACCUCUGAAGAGGUGUUAAGAGAAACUGUUCUGUCAAGCCCAUUUAAUAACAAACUUUUAGUCAACAUGAAUAAUACUGAACUCUUAUGAAUAAGAUUAGAAAAUUAUUCUAUUUUUAUGUGAGAGAAAUAAAUUAAUAAAGAAAACCAGCACUGUUUGUGCACAAACCAAAUGUUCUUCUCAUCUCUGAGGUGACUCUCAAGUUACUUGUAUCUUGUCAGCCUCACUUUUCAAUAGUUUUGUUUUUAUGGGUAGUAUUUAGCAGGCAGCUCCUCUAGUUUUUGCUACAUGAUAAAUGUUUUUGUCCAGGACAUUCUCAAACCUGACUGGAGUGUCUGUGCUAGCAUAGGCAGCUCCUUGUCAGCAUACAAGGGAUCCAUAUUGGCUGUUGUGCAUUCAUUCGGUAGGUCACCCAUGUAGAGAGUAAAUGGAAGGAAACUGUAAAUUACAGGGUUAUAAAUACAUGAAGAGUCUCUUGAGCAAAGAUUGAGUGGUUUCUGAUGUCAGCAGAACCCUGAGAUGAAUUUAGUGUCCUGCUUUGUUUUGCUGUUUUUCUAUUCCCUGUGAAGCAGGGCUCCUUUAUAAAGAGAAGAGAAAGCCAAUUUAAUGGAGAAAUCAAACUUAGACACUUAAAUGAUAACCAUAAACAUUUACAGGAUGUCCUGUUCUGUCAUGGCCACAGAUAGAUGCUUAAAAUUCUGUCCCAUGGAUGUAGCUAAAAUGGGAAUUCUGAACCUAUUCAAUAUAAUCCAUUUCAUUUACUGGCUGUAAUGUCGUUGCAAGUGGAUAUUAAAAAGAACAAUCUUGGACUUUAAAAUACUGUUGGUGUAGAAAUUGAAGUAUAAAACCAGAAAACAUGUUAGUACAGUACAGAUUUAAGCAGGCAGGUUAGGAAGAUAAUGAAUACAUAUUAUGUAAUAAAGAAUAACAGGAUUAUCUAUUUUCAUGGCAGUGCAACACAAAAUAAUUCUAAAGACUAAGAAUCUAAGAUUUUCAUAUGAUCGGUGGUAACCAAGAAGGAAUAAUCUCAGUCAAUGAUAUUCAGAAAAAAAGAAACUGAACUUUGUUCCUGAAAAAUUAUCCAUAGGCUUCAGUAAUAAAAAAUGAUAUAUUUUGCAAACUGCCAGAUUUUGCAAAGUGCAGAUUACUCUGAAACCUGUAGGCAGAAUCAGUGUGGCAAUGCCCAACUGUAUUUGCUUCUGACCCAGAGAAGGAAGAGUUGUGGUCUGAAUGAAAAAGGCAAAAUAACAGCAUGUCCUCUGUAUGGGUCAAAGCUUUCAGGCUUAAAUUCAGUCACAGCAAAUAAUAACCUUGUUUCUCUAGAAAUAUCUAUUUUUCACAUUGUGCAGCAUAGUAAUCCUAAUAAUUCAGUUGUGAUCAUUUUGAAGGAUGUUGCAUAUUUCCUAUAGUUAGUCUGAAGGAGCUUUAGGCUUGUAAACAGCAUAAUUUGUUUCAGAGGUUAAAGGUCUAGACCAAAACCUCAGUGUCUGUCUGGAUCAAAAGCCAGUCAGUCUAUGAAAGAGUGAAGACCUCUAGGCUGAAUUACCUUUGUGGCAUUGCUAAAAUGCAAGGUGUGUCUUAGCAGAGAAUAUUUAUUUUAAAUAAUACAAUAAUCUAUCAAAAUCCCAUAACAUGUUUCUACCUCAAAUCUGAAAAAUUAAAUAAGGAUAACUACCAUUAUGAGGACGUGGUUAUCCAGUACCACCAUCCUUCUCUAGCCUUUGUAAAGUUCCGAGAAAUUACAAAAUAUUUUGUAAUACUGUUACUAAAAUAUAGUGCCCUGGAAAAAAUCAGAGGCACUGUGGCUCAGCUGUGAUUUCCAGGUGUACAUGGAAUAAACUAGAGGUUGUGGGAUAAUUUGAGAUGUUUUGUUUAUGUCAGAUUCUCUGUGGUGGCAACAAAAAUACUCACUAGAUUUCAGGCUAAAAUGUGGAUUAGUACUGAAAGUAAUUACUUCUAUGUGACUACACAAUUCCUUCUUCUGACACUAAAUUUAUCUCAGGCUUUUAGGAAGUCUACAGGCAUUGAGAAUUAUAUUGAACAUAUUCCAUGUGUGCAAAAGAGAAACAUUUCAGCCUCAGAUGGGAUAUAACUUUUAAUAUUUCCACUUGUACCCUAGACAAUAGUUCUAUAAAAGUUCUCACAGUUUAAUAAAAUUUCUUAUUCUAAAUGCAGGUGUUUUCUUACAGCAAUCCUGAAGGCAAAAAUAUCAUUCCUUUCCCCUUGGAAAUCUUGAAUGAUAACUCACAGAAUGGAACAAUAAAUCAGUUAUAUCCAGGAAAUGUUAGUUUGAAAAAGGAAAAAAGCCUACAAAAUACUGAUUUGAUAUUGCUUUCCAGAUUAAUGCAAAAACUUGACUGAACACAUGGCUGCAUUGUCAUACUGUGCUUAAAAUUGGCAGUCCCACAUGGCAUUGGACACAGUCCUGUCACUGGGUCCAGCCUGAUAAGAAGAGAACCCUUAAACACUUUGACUCAUCUCUAGUAAAAUCUUUCUACACUUGGGCUUCCCCCCCCACUAGGUUGCUUUUAAAAAACACUAUGUUAAUAAUAUUUUUGGAAUUAGGCACAUUUCAGAGAAAUGCACUGUACUGUACAGAGUAAUAAUGCCCAGAAAUUUAUCUGUGUAUAGUAUUUCAUCAUAUAUAUUUGGACGAUAUUUUAAAAUAUAGAUCUUGGUGAAAUAAUUAAGUUUUUUGACUGCAGGAAUACAGGAAUAAGCAUACAAAAAGAAACUCCUAAAAACUUCAGAGUAGACCAAAUUCUUACAUGUGUAGCAUCUAAAAAUAAAGGAUACUAAUUAUAACAACAGAAGAUACUUAAAAGUGUAGAUGAACACACCUCUUUUUUUUCUCUUUCAUUGCAACACAUUUGGGAAGAUCUGUGGUGGAACAUGCCUGCCACUUUCACUGUUAAUGGAAAACAAUGAAGUAUUUGGCAGGAUCAGUUACAUUAAGGUGUGAUUUCCUGCUGGAAUAAGAUCUGGAGGCCAAAGGGGAGACUGAAUGUGAACUAAGCUGUUCAUUCCUGCUUUAGCCAUACCCUGGAAGAACAUAUCAUACCACUCAAGUCACUUUAGGUUAGUGUGGUAGACGUAGCUCUCAUUUUCCCAUUUUCAAUCCUGUACUGCUUUAUAUUAAGAUUGGCUUAUUUUUUUUUAAUGAAAAACCCCCAACCUUCAAGCUUUUAUUUUAAAAAAGUCUGAAGACUUCACUUUUUUCUCUACAGAAACAUAUUGUCAACUGCAAAUAUAGAGAAAGUAAACCCCGAAGGUUAUUAUUUAUACUUUGGUAUCACUUUGAAGCAUUUGUUCUAUUUAAAGUCCUUGCUUUUUAUUCCAUGUUCUGUGGAGAACAUGUCUAGUCAUUACAGACCAUUCUUCUUCACUUUGUUGUAAACUACUUCUAUCCAUGUAAAUACUAAGGCCAUAGUUCUUCCAACUUUAUGGAUAUGCCUAAAAUCUAUUCAUGUGAACAUUUGCAUUGAUUUCUUUUUUAUAUUGUGUGCAAUAGGCAUGUGUAUAACUUGUAAAAAUCAGAACAGAAUUACUUUGUCCUCAGAGGAUUAAAACCAUUUGAAAUGUCUACUAUUUGCCAAAUGAGACAUAAGAUCCUGAUUUACACCAUCAGUUUUCUACAAGACCAAAUCUAUUUAAACAAUACAGUAAAAUAAUAUUGUUCCCUGUUACAUAUAACAGUGGCCUUUGAUAGUAAGUAGCCCACAACUAUUGGAUUAAUAUACGUAAGUAUUUAUAAUACAUGUUUUAAAUUAUAUACCAGGAUGGACUGUGCAUUUUUUAUACAUAUAUAUGUGUGUGUGGGUAUAUAGUCUUGGACUGUAGCCAAGACUAUGUAAGAAAUAUUGUGUGUGUAGAAGCUCUGAAUGGCCUCCUUCACAAACAUCAUCAUGCAGGCAUUUUCCCUGUUUUACCACCCCUCAAUGCUCUUUCCUUUAGUUAACUGUAUUUUUGGCUCAUAUCACACUAGAAUAUAUUUCCUCCACUGCCUGUCAUCUACUAGGAUUCAUUUUAAAUGAGGUAGUCACUAUCCUUAUCUAAUGAAUGAUAGUACUUUGGCCAGUGCAGUUUAAGGAUUGGGAGGAUUUAUGGUUCAGUUGUCUGAACACAAAAUAAGAUUUUUUGGCAGUGAAAUAAAGAUUUGAAAUUCAAAUUUUAUAAAUGGGUUCUUUAAAAACUCUUUGAUGUUUAAUCACACUGAAAAAGAACUUUAUUACAUGAGUGGCUGUAAGACUUGGAUGCUGUCUGUAUUUAUACCACACCGUCACAAGAGAAAUUAUUGUUACUUACUGAAGAAAUAAUCUCUGUUCUUUCUAGUUGGAUUAUAUUUAAAGCCUAGAAAAUUUUGACAAAAGAGGAAGAUGAAAGCUAAAGUCAGUGAUAGAUUCAGUCUGGAAAUAGUUGAAAUGUGUCUUGUGGGAUAAAUGUUUUUUUAUAUUGACUGCAUGUCAGCUCUAUAUUAGAUGUGAGCAUGACAAUAGCAGAGAAGACAACUACCAUAAUUUACCUACUUUUAUAAAAAACAGAUAUUGCCGGUUUACCCAUGCAAGGGUGGUGUUAUUUUGUAAUUUGGGUGCUUUUCACACAGCCUGAUUCAAGGCACUCCAUGGCAAGUGCCUGUGUUGGUUGAUUAGCCUUCCUAGAAUCCUCAAAAUUUGUUAGGAGAAAGAGAUUUCUACCACCCAGAGGACAAUUCAGAGGAAGGAUUCACUGAAUUACUGAAUUACUGAAUGAAUGAAUGAAUUACUCUCCUGAAGAGGCCUUCUCACCAUGCUGAUACACAGGAAACCAACAGCAUCCAACUUCCUACUUUAUUGUAUAAACAGAACAAAAAAAUAGCAAUGUCAGGAAUAAAAACCAAAUCGGAUAAGUAUAUAAACCUGUAGUAUGCUGAAUGUAAAAUGAGGCACUUAAAGCCAAAAAUUAGAAACCUGAAUAUGCCUGCUUAUGUGGUACCAAUUUCUAGGCUUUCUCAAACUGUGCCUGUUGAUAUGUCAACGGGCACGUCUGGAACUGCUUGAGAUUUCAUAGUGCUGGAGAGACAACACAUGCCAUACCUCAUAGUCCACAUACAGAAACUAAAUGUUCUCUCUAUUAUAAGACACAUUCUUUUCCUUUCAUCUCUUUCCGUGUCAAGAUGAUUAUUAAUAAUUUUAGUGGUUAAAACAAUGGUUAAAAGGUCCAUUCUCGUUUGAAAGUUCAUGAUACAAGCAUUGGGACAUUUUAAGCAUUUAACAGUGUGAAAAAUUAACACUGUGAUUGCAAUAGAUGCUGCAUAGUAAUAGAAGGAAAAAACUAGUUCUCACCUGAGGCAAUUGUACAAUGUAAUAAGAUACAAAACCUGUUUUAGUUCAGAACAGCAGAAAAAGUUUAAUCAGAUUCAAGAAACUGGGGAAUUGGUAAUGUCAGCACCAUGUCAAUUCCAUCACUGCAACACAGGUUUGAAGCUUCUAGUGGAACUAAGGAAAACAAAGAUUAUGUUAAUAAUUUUGUUAACUUUUUUUUCUUUAUUCCUGAGACAUUAAAAAGGCACCAAGAAAUAGUGUUAACAAAGUCAAGACAAAUUGUGUUCAUCUGGAGAGUUAGAGGUACCAAAACCAGAUGAACUCCUACAGGAUUAAGAUUUUAUUUUCUUGCAACUAUAAAAUGUAGUCUAAAGAUGAAAGAAGAAUGCUUAUUUUCCCCAGGAAGCAGUUUCCCUUCUGUUUUUCCUUGAAGCAUUAAUUUUCCUCUCAGCAGAAAAAAAAAAUGGCCACAGAAAAUAAACUGUUAUUUUGCCCUUUGCAUUGUGUCGUGGAUGAAGAAGCUUUGUGAUUUCUUUAAGGUCUUAGCUUUAACUACUGGGCCAUAGCAUCAGAGAUUGAUUGCUGCUAUUGUGUGCCAUUAAGGGAUAUUGUAUAUUUAGAGGUCUGAAUCAUUACUAGGUUUUGUAGUACCCCAAAAAAUCUUUUGGUAUUUCUUUUCAGUGCAACAUGAAGGAGCUUUCAUUUUGCUUUUCUCACUGUCAUAGAGAUCCUGCUAUGAUUUGUACAGCUUACCUAUGUCAAGAAUGUAGUUUUAGAAGCUUGUGUAAAUUAUCUGUU